AAUUGUUUUUUUUUCCCUGAAUGAUGUGAUAUCACAAAAAUAAAUUAUGUCUAAACAUGGGUAAGUAAUGCUUGUGUUUUGAUGAAAGGGAUGAAAAUUGAGAGUGUGGCAAUGAGUAAUGGAGUUUCUCUAGCCAAACAGGUGGUGGAUUUUUUAGGAGGGCUUUUUAUAUUGCUUAUAAUGAUAGGAGUCCUAAACGUUGGGGACAUAAGUGAAGUGGGGAGAGUGGAC
rnacentral:lncRNA from 1 species